CUUCAGCUCAGGGCACAGGGACAUGCAAAUGCAGUGAUUAUGCUACUUUUAGAGCCAAGUUUUCACAGCAUUGCACCUAAGCUAACAAUUGGUGCCACGAGCACCAGCAGGGCUUAUCUGCAAUUCACAUAACUUGCUCUCUGAUAACACAUAACUGACUCUGAACAGAAAUUCAGCAGACAAUUGCAACAAAUUCCAGGCCUCUAAAAGGAAGCAGAAAGACGAGUUUCAUCUCGCUGUUACAUGAGUCAAGAGAAGUGGAGCAAUAACUAACAGGUCCAUUCAGCCCUUUACAAAAUACUUCCUCACACUAUGUAAUUUUGUAAUUUUUCACCUUUGCAAUUACAAACUAUUUCAAAAAGAGGAAAGAGUCCCACAAAUCUGCCAGAAAGUACCCCGGUGUAAUUACAGGGCUUCUCUGAUUUGCAUGUAUUAAUAACAAUAAAAAGGUAAUUGGAAGUUCAUCUGGAAGAGAUGAAAGGCUACAUCCUAAGAUAAUGGAUCUGAGGUUACCAAACACCAAAAAGUAGUUACUGAAAAAAAACCCAAGAGACUCAAAUCUAUACGCAAACUUAGUCACAGUAAAAAUAUAGCAAUUUUUGCCAGGUCUUUGGAGGUGCCUGUGCUUGUAACAAAUGCUAAAACUAAAAAAAAAACUAUUCAAUGUGGUCAAUCCCAAUAUUUCACUAAGAAAGGCUUUUCAGGAAUUACCUGUAUUGAUCCAACAAUACUCCAAUCAAUUUCGCCUCUCAGUUUUCUUCCACCAGUGUGCUAAUACAUCCUUAAAUUUGUGUGUCAGCUAUGAUAUCAGCUGACAAGCUUGUUACCCCAGCUGAAUAAAAAAAAAGACUGAACACAAUUCCACAAACUCUUCAUGGAGCAUAUGACCGUAAAAAAACUCUAGAAUUUGACUACAGAAGAGACAUUUGUAGUCACAUUAAAUACAAGCCUAUUUGUUUUUCCAAGAAUGCCUUAUGAAUCCACAUAUAAGCCUUCAAAUGAAGACUUACAUGCUGCAAGCUCCAAAGCUGCUGCAAAAGAACAGCAAUUUCAAUUCCAGAAACCAAGAAAGAAGGUGGCUACAGUUCAGUGCCUAAUUUCCUUUUAUCAGGAAGAGAAAAAAGGCGUGGAAGAUUAAGACUUUUAUGAUUUCAACAAGCUUUCUGAUCAUAAAGUGAGCCAUGACCUUUGAAGCAGAAUACACGGCGUAUCCAAGUACGAAGAACAGUCAGAGUUCACUUAAACACAUGGAUCAAAAAAAUGAUGUGCAUGCUCACCUACAACUCUCUUUCCUGUACUGUGCAGAGUACGUGUAUGCAGAAGAGCACCAUCACAUUAAGGAACUCGGCUGCAGGAGAACCAGAGAGCACAACUCAGCUGCUUACAGAGGACAGCAAAGAACCAGCCACAAGUAAUGCUUGUGUUGGGCCCAACUCUUGGUGAAACACAGCACACGAAACAGUAUUGUAGCAGUUACUGAGCAGCAGCAGCAUCACACAGCUGCUGCUAGAAAGGACUACACUGGUCUAAGCAGAACAUACGAGGGUCUGAUGCUGAUCACAGAAUGUACUGAGUUGGACCCACAAGGAUCAUUGAGCACAAUCCCUGGCCCUGCACAGCACAACUCCAGGAGUCAUCUCCUAUUUGAGGGAGCUGUCCAAGAGCUUCUUGAACUCUGUCGGGCUUGGUGCUGUGACCACUUCCCUGAAUCACUGUUCCAGUACCUAGGUAAAGAACAUUUUCCAAAUAUCCCACCAAACCUGCCCCUGAACACCUUCAUGCCCUUCCCUUGGAUCCUGUCACUGAUCACCAGAAAGAAGCGAUUAGUGCCUGCCCCUCCUCUUCUCCUGGUGAUGAUGUUGCAACUGCAAUGAGGUGUGCCCUCAGGCUCCUCUUCUCCAGGCUGAACAGACCAAGUGACUCUUCAGAAAGCUUUCCUUCGAGAUCCUUUCACCAUUUCUGUAGCCCCCCUUUGGAUGCUCUCUAUAUCUUUUGUGGGUGAGAAGACAAAAGCCAUGUGCAAACACAGGAACAUUUGCAGAUGCUGCUGCAGACAACAAACAGGAUUUAUCACAGGACUCUGGGUAACACCUUGCAUGGCAGGCAUGUACUUUAGGGAGAGAAGAUGCUACAAGUGCAGUAUGUGCUGCACAAGUACGAGAGCAGUGCUUGGUGACUGCUUACUGCUGCUACCCCGGGGAAGGACAGCACUCUGU